GACCCGAUGGCCAAUGGUGGUGCCUGCACCGCAUUAUAGGCAAAGUUGGGGUUGAUUCAGCGGGAGGUCCUGGUUCGAUUCCGGGGUGGGUCA